GGGGAUUUAGCUCAGUGGCAGAGCGCUUGCCUAGCAAGUGCAAAGCCCUGGGUUCAGUCCCCA
rnacentral:tRNA from 1 species